CCUCCGUCGAGAUAAUUUAUCCCACAUGUAGCAGGGAAAGAUAUUAGAAGAAAACGUAGGUAACCUGGAAACCUGUCAAGAGGACUAUUACAACUCUUGCAAUGAUUAACAAGUGAAGCUGAUUGCUGAUUAUAUUUAAUAAUUCUCAAAAGCUCGAUCUUUACUGACAGGGAAAAGCAUCGGCACCUACCGAAAGUACAAUCAUUAAUUACAGAAGGGUUUGGAUGAUGCGUGCAGAGGUAUUUUCCUGUUUGUAUCAUUUCACUUGCCAAAGAUGUAGAUGAAAUUCUCAAAUCUGGAAAGAAAAACAUUCCGUGGUAACUUAACAAAAAUAUUGUAUAGAUAGAUGGAUGCAUUGAAAUCUCGAGAAAGAAAAAUCGGGCAAUAAAUGAAUUAGAGGUGAGCUAGAUUAUUUAGCUGUAUAAGUUGUUAGCCUGAUUUUGAGCUCAGCUCUAAAUGAAGCUGAAUAUCACAAAAUUUAUUAGUAUUUAUUCUGAAUUUCUCAAAAUUUGGUAGUUUUUGUUGUGAUGUAAUUGUAAACUUUAUUUUGGCCAUUUUAGCAAAUAGCACAGAAUAUCUUUUUACACUUUUUUAGAAUGGUUCAAUUUUCAAAUAUAUGUCAGUAGGGGUCCAAAAAUAAAUUCCUAACGUAUGGAUGGAUGAUAAGUGUUUUAGACUUAAAAUAAAUAAAUAAAUAAAGUCCAAAUAAAUAAAGUCCUAGGCGCCAAAUGUGGACAAGCGAAAUCUCAUGAGAGUUUCUAGGGUUUUGUAAAGUUUUCAAAGAGGCUGGAUAUCACCACGUUGCAGAGAAUCAGAGCUUUAUGGCACAUUGCUCUGAGAUUGGAAGGUUUUUAGGGUUUCAUUCAAGCCAGAUGGUAUUCGAGAACUCCUUGAGACAAGACCAAAAAGUGUGAGGACAAGAAGCAUGGGAUAAGGAUAUUGAGUCUUACUAAAUAAAUAAUGAUAUAGUCUUAAUAAAUAAUGAUACUGAGUCCUAGUAGAGGAAGAAAUAAAUAAUGAUUAGUGCCAAAUCAAGCAGAAGAGUAUCAAAAGCAAUGGACAAAGAUAGUGGGUUGAAGACAAUACACAAUUCUCAAGAAUAAGAGCAGAGGUUAAGGCAAAUGAGCAGCUAUGGCAAUGAUUGGAAGGAUCAUGAAGAGAGGAACCAUAGUGACAGUCAUUGAGUGUAAGAGAGGACAUUGGAGAAGACAGUCCAAUGGUAGAAAUAGCAAAAACAGGGUCUUUUAAAAGCAAGAGACAGAGUGGCAAGUCAAUAGAGAGUAACAAGAGUUCUCAGAUUUCAUAACAGAGGGACAGUCACAAGCAUCAAAAGAGGACUGUUAUAAUUUCAACAGAACAAAUGCAGUAGCAGUCAUUUCAGAAUGUUACUGCAGUCAUGUCAGAAUGAUAACCUUCUACAGUGGUAGACAUUCAUGGGAAAUUGGUAAUAUGGAUGAUAAAAGGUAAUCUAAGAUUAUGUUCUAGAGGUCUGCUAGAAGGAAGGUUGUUGAUAUACUUGUAUGUUCUUAUCCUUCAUAUUUAGUCAAAAUGCAUGAUUGUUAUAUGUUGUGGGUGUCUCUCCCAUCAAGGGUUAUAGCACAAAACUCUUUUGUUUGCUCUGUCAUGGGUGGUUAUCAUAGUGUCAUGUUCACAGGGUCGCCUCCAGCCUUGAAUGGUGUGUUAACUGUCCAUCAUUCUUGAUGUUGUAAUGAUAGUGUGCCGUAUCUUGCACAAUCCGUAAAGGUCAGCAUUGUAUUCAUAUCAUGAUUUGGUGAUCUGGUGUGAUAGAAUCCGUGAGCAGGUAUAGUGAUCUAGAGACAUAUGAGGUACAGAUCCUGUUCAAAUUAGUGAACCAGAAAUUAGUAUGAAGAAAUGAAGAUCAUAAGGAGCAUGUUGAGGUAGCAUACGAGUGUGACAAAGGGCAACAAACCUUUAUGACAGUGCUCAAGAACAAGGAGACAGUUUGAUAGGAAGGUAGUGAGUAGAUUAAGUGACAAGGAGACAGUUUGAUAGGAAGGUAGUGAGUAAAUCUAGUGACAGGGUUUCAAGGAAAGAGGUCUGUAGCUGCAGGUACAUGACAGAAUCGAGAAGGUUUGAAGAAGCAGUCAAACAGGAGUGCAGAUGAAGUUACCAAACAAGAGGAUUGUCAAUACAAUCAUAAAGAAUUUGCAUGUGAAAGACAGUUUUGAGUUAUAACGUGCUGAGUAUGGAUAGAGAGACAAAGUGAACUAAAAGGUCAAGACAAGAGGAUAGUUUUUUGUGAAGGUGUAAUCUUGGCAACUAGGUGUUCAUUGAUGAAGACAUUGCCAUAGCUCAAAGACAAUCACCAAAGGGCUGUAACAGUGGUAUGAUGAGGAGAAAAGUGCAGUAAUAAUGAUAGCGGGCAGAGAAGAAAACAUAGUUUUGAGAGCCAUGAUGGUAGUUCAUACCAAGAAAGUGCCUAACCUUGAAUGUAAGCACAAUGGGUAGAAGCCUUGAGGGUUUUUUUUUAUCAGACUGUUGUUGCUAAUUUCCAAUGAAGGGUAAAUCAGUUCAGUGUAAAGAUAGUCUUAGUCAUAAGAGGACAGCUUAAGAUUGUCAUGACAGUGAAUAGAAUGAAUCACUGAUAAUGGCAUGUAGGUUCCAAAAGAGCUACAAUAGACAGAAAUAAUAGUCCGAAGUAUGAAGAGGAUGGCAUACUAUAAAGUGACUUCCUGAGGACAAGCAUGAAUAGAGGUUCAAAGGCAUAACAGUGUGACAGAAUCAGAAGUAAAAAAUGCAGAAAAAAGGUCAGUUUUAAGACUCUCAAGUGUUUUGACAUGUGUAAAAGCUGCCUAUUGGAUAUAUAUGCAUUCAAACAUCAAUAGCAAGCCAUCAAUGCAUAGUUUUGGGUAGUUGGGAGGUUCUUUAUUGCUCAAAAUCAGUUUCAUCCAACUCCAAACAGUUGGAGGAUGAAAGAGCAGUUUGGUGACCUGAGAGAAUAUAGGACAGUUUGAUGACUUGACCAGUUCGUUGAGUAGAUUUAGAAGAGCAGUUUGAGGACCUUUUCCAAGUAGUUGAGCAAAAGGAGACUUUUUGAUCAAAUCGAAGGCAUUUCUAGGCAUUGGAGCAGAUUGAAGAACCUCAUCAUUAGGGGGGUCAAUGUCGAAGAUUUUUCUUCAUAUAACAACCAUUUUGGAGCAUUUUUAGGGGUCUUUAUUGACCAUUUUCAGGUUCAUUCGACUGAAAAAAGGUUGAAGACUUUUUCAGACAUUUUGUACAUGCUGCAAAAUUUUAGGAGAUGUUUCUUAGGCUACUUAAGCUCAUUUAGAACUCAGUUUGGAGAUAGUUCUUGCUUUUCUAUGCUAUUUUUUUAACUCUUAGAAUUCUUCUCCAAAAAGAAUAGCAAUGUAUCUCAUUUUCAGACUUGUACAGCUGUUUUGUAAUCACACUGAUGAAUAAAACAAGCAUUUUUGUCUUCUCAA